AUGAAUCGCAGCACGCCAAGCCUGCUAUGUGUCUGGAUGAACACAAAUCUGGACUCUCAAACUGUUCUCUGCACGUUCAGUUUUCUUUUCACUGAGAUGCACUUUCAGUUUUCUUCCUUUUAUCUUUUCUGCAGCCAAUCGAGACGCUGCAGCCCAGCCUGUUUAUCUUGUGAGCUGCAGAGGCACUCACAGCCCUGCUGCGGCUCCGUCCCCGGUGAUUGCAUCUCUCCUAGGUGGGUGUUAAAGGACGGGACCAGACGACCAGAACCAUGGGAGGAAGAGCAGGCAGGCUGCAGGAGAGGAAGGAGGAAGGAACCACAGGAGAGGGUGUGGCGUGAGGCCGAUGGAAACCACAGCUAUCUGUUGGGCAGGAAAGAGAAACCAGAUACAGCUUCCUGGGCAAUGGAACUUCAGAGACAAGCACAGAGUUUGCUGGCAACUCCAGGAGGCUGAAGCCACCAUUCCCGCAGCCUUUGGGGGGCUCCAUGGACCUAGCACUGCUGGUGAAUUGGCGUGGAUGCCGCUAAGUGCUGCGCUCAUUCUUGCGAUCUGUCUCUAUCCCAUUCUGGAGCAGUGACCAAGCCCUCAGGGGCCUCCUGCUGCAGACCACCCUUUCAGGGAGGCUGUUUAGAGCCCCACAGAAACCGUGCCACCAGCCAUGGAGCAGUGCUGCCUGAAGCAGAGAGCAGAGAGCCUGAAUCAGAGAGCAGAAGGCAAAGUUGCCUGCUUCCCCAACUUGUGAGCUGUGUGAAUUUGGGUUGAGCACUUAAACGGUCUGUGCCUCAGUUACUGCAUCUAGCAAAUGCAGGCGAUGGUAGCUGCCCUCCUCAGGGAGACUGUGAAGACUAAGUGAGAUGGUGCCUGGCAAGCACUUCACAUGGUGCCUUGUUAGUCUGUCCUCUUCCUUCUUUAGAAAAAGGGCCCCAGUGGAGAGGCAGGACCCUGCCCCAUGAAAGAGGGACGCAUGCCUAAAAAGAGCAAAGGGCCUCUUUCACAAAAUCAUAGGAUGUCUGAACAGAAGGUCUGGGUGGAUGCAACUUCUGGGAACCCAGCCAGGAGUGAAGUCUUCCCUGGAGAAAAUUUCCCCAGCAAGAAGCCCUGGAGCAGGAAAGCUAGGAUGACCAGACUAGUUGACCAAAUUCAAAUUUCAAAUCCUGCGUUCAGACUUGCCGAGGAUGACAUCCUGACCAAAGAGAAGACUGAUCUCCGUGGAAUCUAAGACAAAAAUCUAAGAUAAAACAUGACACACGUGAGCACCAAACAGUUGGUAUAUCUGUGGUUUCUGGGUUUCGCUCAGUAAGCCUCAAAGGCACCAUCCUCAGGCAUUGAGAUGAAUGUCAGGAGACCAGGGGCCUCUGACAUUGGGCCAUCAGCACCAAAGUGGUAGCAGAGGCACCUGUGUCCAUUUGCUCAGACUGCUAUAAUAAAGUCCCAUGGACGGGAUGCUUAAACAACAGAAAUUUCUUGUCUCAUGUUCUGGUGGCUGGAAAUGUGAAAUUGAGGUGUGGACAGGGUUUGUUACUUCUAAGGAGAUAAGGGAAUGGUCUGUUCCAGGUCUCUCUCUUUGUCUUGUGGGUGGCCAUCUUCCCCGUGUUUUUUUUUUUUUUUAAUUUUCAUUUAUUUAAUUUAUUUUGACUGCUCUGGGUCUUUGUUAUUGCGCACAGGCUUUCUCUUGUGGUGUGUGGGCUUCUCACUGCAGUGACUUUCUUAUUGUGGCUCACCAGCUCUCGAGCCGGGCUCAAUAGUUGUGGCCCACGGGCUUUAGUUGCUCAGUGGUAUGUGGGAUCUUCCUGGACCAGGGAUUGAACCGGGUCGCCUGCAUAGCAGUUAAUCACUGGACCACCAGGGACGUCUUCCCAUCCCUCCCCAUGUCUGCAUCAUUUUCCUUUUGUGCAUGUCUGUGUCCAGAUUUCCUUCUUACAAAAACACCAGUCAUAUUGAAUUAGGGCCCACCCUAAUCAUGUCACUUUAAAUUAAUUACCUCUUUAAUGGCCUCUCUCCAAAUACAGCCACAUUCUGAGGUACUUGGGAUGUAGGGAUCCAGCAUAUGAAUUCUGGGGCCAGUUCAACCCAUUGCAGUCUUUUACCAACUGGUCUGAACUUCAUCAGCAGAGAAAUAAUGGGUGAGCCUGUGUUUUCCCAGAUUUCUCCCACUUUUAAGCAGAUUAAGCUUCAGCCUAGAAUCGUGCAUUGACCUGCCAAAUGCAACUGAAUGUGUAACUUAGACCAUGUCAUCUUUCCAGGUUAACAUUUAUUUAUAAACCGCAGGUAAUAAAAAUAACAUCUAUUUGUCUCCUCAGAACACUUAAGGUGUUCUGAGCCUUAAAUAUGGAUGCAGCAAUUAUGCUUUUCAGAACCAAGCAAAUCAGUCCUUAGGACAGACGACUCAGGCAAACCAGCCAGCAGCACCAGCAGCAGCACAAAACAACCUUUCAGACCCACACGAGAGGACAAGAUUGUAAUGCCUCUGUGACAGCAUUGCUUUAUUGAUGCAAG
rnacentral:lncRNA from 1 species